UAAUGGAAAUGGUUUUUUUACUGUAAUAAACUUAAAACUUGACUAUACUUUUCAAGCACAGGUGAGCAUGCAGACCCUUUGAGGUGGUCAGUGGCCAGCACAGGACUUGUCAUCUACAGCUGAGCCUUCUGAGUCCCAGGACGCCCUUCCCCAGACUUUGGAAGAGGCUGCUCCUCCCUGAGCCCGCAGGUCCUCCUGACCUCUUACCCCAGCACCUGGCUCUGUGGACCACCCCCCUCCCCCGUGUGAGCCUCCAGGCAAGGAUGCCCCGCAGACACCGCUGCAGGACUGAGCUGGACCCACAGGUGGCGGACAGAUGUGCUGCGUCCUCACCUAUGCCUGGGAGGUGGAG